UUGUGUGCUGGAAUCUCUAGUUCUGCUCCUCGUUCUUUCGGGAACAAGAUUGUCUGUGGCAUGUUAUAUAAAAUAAAGGAGUUUAGAGAGCCACCAGUCAUAUAGUGAAGAUUAAGUGGUAUUCUUUCUUGUACAGAA
ensembl:snoRNA